rnacentral:rRNA from 1 species
AGAUUGAACGCUGGCGGCAGGCCUAACACAUGCAAGUCGAGCGGUAGAGAGGUGCUUGCACCUCUUGAGAGCGGCGGACGGGUGAGUAAUGCCUAGGAAUCUGCCUAGUGGUGGGGGAUAACGUUCGGAAACGGACGCUAAUACCGCAUACGUCCUACGGGAGAAAGCGGGGGACCUUCGGGCCUCGCGCCAUUAGAUGAGCCUAGGUCGGAUUAGCUAGUUGGUGAGGUAAUGGCUCACCAAGGCGACGAUCCGUAACUGGUCUGAGAGGAUGAUCAGUCACACUGGAACUGAGACACGGUCCAGACUCCUACGGGAGGCAGCAGUGGGGAAUAUUGGACAAUGGGCGCAAGCCUGAUCCAGCCAUGCCGCGUGAGUGAAGAAGGCCUUCGGGUUGUAAAGCUACUUUUGUACCGGAAAGAAAAGCUUACGGUUAAUACCCCGGAGUCCUGACGGUACGGAACGAAUAAGCACCGGCUAACUUCGCGCCAGCAGCGCGUAAU